rnacentral:rRNA from 1 species
UGGGGAAUCUUGGACAAUGGGGGCAACCCUGAUCCAGCCAUGCCGCGUGGAUGAUGAAGGCCUUAGGGUUGUAAAGUCCUUUUAACGGGGAAGAUAAUGACGGUACCCGUAGAAUAAGCCCCGGCUAACUUCGUGCCAGCAGCCGCGGUAAUACGAAGGGGGCUAGCGUUGUUCGGAUUUACUGGGCGUAAAGCGCACGUAGGCGGAUUGUUAAGUCAGGGGUGAAAUCCUGGAGCUCAACUCCAGAACUGCCUUUGAUACUGGCAAUCUAGAGUCCGGAAGAGGUGAGUGGAACUCCUAGUGUAGAGGUGGAAUUCGUAGAUAUUAGGAAGAACACCAGUGGCGAAGGCGGCUCACUGGUCCGGUACUGACGCUGAGGUGCGAAAGCGUGGGGAGCAAA